rnacentral:rRNA from 1 species
GAUGGGGGCCCGCACAAGCGGUGGAGCAUGUGGUUUAAUUCGAAGCAACGCGAAGAACCUUACCAGGUCUUGACAUCCUUCUGACCGGCCUAGAGAUAGGCUUUCCCUUUUGGGCAGAAGUGACAGGUGGUGCAUGGUUGUCGUCAGCUCGUGUCGUGAGAUGUUGGGUUAAGUCCCGCAACGAGCGCAACCCUUAUUGUUAGUUGCCAUCAUUAAGUUGGGCACUCUAGCGAGACUGCCGGUAAUAAACCGGAGGAAGGUGGGGAUGACGUCAAAUCAUCAUGCCCCUUAUGACCUGGGCUACACACGUGCUACAAUGGUUGGUACAACGAGUCGCAAGCCGGUGACGGCAAGCUAAUCUCUGAAAGCCAAUCUCAGUUCGGAUUGUAGGCUGCAACUCGCCUACAUGAAGUCGGAAUCGCUAGUAAUCGCGGAUCAGCACGCCGCGGUGAAUA